rnacentral:rRNA from 1 species
GAUGAACGCUGGCGGCGUGCCUAAUACAUGCAAGUCGAGCGAACAGACGAGGAUCUUGCUCCUCUGACGUUAGCGGCGGACGGGUGAGUAACACGUGGAUAACCUACCUAUAAGACUGGGAUAACUUCGGGAAACCGGAUCUAAUACCGGAUAAUAUAUUGAACCGCAUGGUUCAAUAGUGAAAGACGGUUUUGCUGUCACUUAUAGAUGGAUCCGCGCCGCAUUAGCUAGUUGGUAAGGUAACGGCUUACCAAGGCAACGAUGCGUAGCCGACCUGAGAGGGUGAUCGGCCACACUGGAACUGAGACACGGUCCAGACUCCUACGGGAGGCAGCAGUAGGGAAUCUUCCGCAAUGGGCGAAAGCUUGACGGAGCAACGCCGCGUGAGUGAUGAAGGUCUUCGGAUCGUAAAACUCUGUUAUUAGGGAAGAACAAAUGUGUAAGUAACUAUGCACGUCUUGACGGUACCUAAUCAGAAAGCCACGGCUAACUACGUG